GACAGAGGGUGCAAACGUUGUUCGGAAUUACUGGGCGUAAAGCGUGUGUAGGCGGCCGCGUAAGUCGGAUGUGAAAGCCCUGGGCUCAACCCAGGAAGUGCACUCGAUACUGCGUGGCUCGAGUACUGCAGAGGAGACUGGAAUUCCCGGUGUAGCGGUGAAAUGUGUAGAGAUCGGGAGGAACACCGGUGGCGAAGGCGGGUCUCUGGGCAAUUCCUGACGCUGAGGCGCGAAAGCGUGGGGAGCAAACGGG
rnacentral:rRNA from 1 species